ACGGUAGCAGGCCUUCGGGCGCUGACGAGUGGCGGACGGGUGAGUAACGCGUAGGAAUCUGCCUCGUAGUGGGGGACAACGUGGGGAAACUCACGCUAAUACCGCAUACGCCCUAAGGGGGAAAGGAGGGGAUCUUCGGACCUUUCGCUAUGAGAUGAGCCUGCGUUAGAUUAGCUAGUUGGUGGGGUAAAAGCCUACCAAGGCAGUGAUGGGUAGCUGGUCUGAGAGGAUGAUCAGCCACACUGGAACUGAAACACGGUCCAGACUCCUACGGGAGGCAGCAGUGGGGAAUCUUGCGCAAUGGACGAAAGUCUGACGCAGCAACGCCGCGUGAGUGAAGAAGGCCUUAGGGUUGUAAAGCUCUGUCAGUUGGGACGAAAAUGCAUAGAGUUAAUAGCUAUAUGUACUGACGGUACCAGCGAAGGAAGCACCGGCUAACUCUGUGUCCGUG
rnacentral:rRNA from 1 species